rnacentral:lncRNA from 1 species
GAGAACUGCACACACCAGAUUCCACGCUUAUGUCCAGUGAAGACACCCAGCAAAGAGCAAUCAGGACAGGACCACAGCUUGGCCAGCCGAUCCUGCGAGCCCGUGGCAAUGAGCUUGUCAUUUGGAGACACUGCCACACUGUUUAUGUCCUUGUCAUGACCUCUCUCAGUCAUUUGUGCAUGAAGGGUUUCUGGACCGGAGAUCAAGGCUGCUUUUGCUUUGGAAGUGAGAGAUUCUGGGAUAUUCCACACUUUUAUUGUGCAGUCCUGGCUGCUGGUCACUACAAAGCUUUCUUUCAACCUUGAGCAAGAGACAGCGCCUACCCCAUGAGCAUGACCCAAUCCUUGGGCCACACACACCACCCUUCCAUCUUUAUUCA